UCGGGAAUUUUGGGCAAUGGGCGAAAGCCUGACCCAGCAACGCCGCGUGAGGGAUGAAGUAUUUCGGUAUGUAAACCUCGAAAGAAUGGGAAGAAUAAAUGACGGUACCAUUUAUAAGCUCCGGCUAACUACGUGCCAGCAGCCGCGGUAGUACGUAGGGAGCAAGCGUUGUUCGGAUUUACUGGGCGUAAAGGGCGCGUAGGCGGCGCGGUAAGUCACUUGUGAAAUCUCUGAGCUUAACUCAGAACGGCCAAGUGAUACUGCUGUGCUAGAGUGCGGAAGAGGCAACCGGAAUUCUUGGUGUAGCGGUGAAAUGCGUAGAUAUCAAGAGGAACACCUGAGGCGAAGGCGGGUUGCUGGGCCGACACUGACGCUGAUGCGCGAAAGCCAGGGGAGCAAACG
rnacentral:rRNA from 1 species